rnacentral:rRNA from 1 species
CACGUAGGGCGCGAGCGUUGUCCGGAAUUAUUGGGCGUAAAGAGCUCGUAGGCGGCCUGUUGCGUCCGCUGUGAAAGCCCGGGGCUUAACUUGGGAAUUGCGCUUGUGACUGGCGUGCUGGAGUGUGGCAGAGGGAGGUGGAAUUCCACGUGUAGCAGUGAAAUGCGUAGAGAUGUGGAGGAACACCGAUGGCGAAGGCAGCCUCCUGGGCCAGCACUGACGCUCAUGCACGAAAGCGUGGGGAGCAAACAGG